GACGAACGCUGGCGGCGUGCUUAACACAUGCCAGUCGAACGGAAAGGCCCUGCUUUUGUGGGGUGCUCGAGUGGCGAACGGGUGAGUAACACGUGAGUAACCUGCCCUUGACUUUGGGAUAACUUCAGGAAACUGGGGCUAAUACCGGAUAGGAGCUCCUGCUGCAUGGUGGGGGUUGGAAAGUUUCGGCGGUUGGGGAUGGACUCGCGGCUUAUCAGCUUGUUGGUGGGGUAGUGGCUUACCAAGGCUUUGACGGGUAGCCGGCCUGGGAGGGUGACCGGCCACAUGGGGAUGAGGUUCCGGCCCAGCUUCUUCGGGGAGGCAGCGUUGGGGAUAUUGGCACAAUGGGCGAAGGCCGGAGGCAGCAACCCCGCUUGCGGGAGGAGGCCCUUCGGGUGGAAAACCGCUUUCGCCGGGGACGAAGCGUAAGGGCCGGAAUUGGUUAAGGAAGCACCGCCAAAUUCCGG
rnacentral:rRNA from 1 species